GGAAGAGAGGUGGUGCGACAGAGGCAGGCAGCUGUCACGACAGAGACAACAAAAUUGAAGUUAACAACAAUAAAUAAAUAGAACAAAAAAAAUGUACACACUGCUGCACGGCUUCUACAAAUACUUUACACAAAAAGACGAGUACUGUGUGGUGAUCCUAGGCCUGGACAAUGCUGGCAAAACGACGUACCUGGAGGCGGCCAAGACUAAGUUUACAAGGAACUACAAGGGCCUAAACCCAACGAAAAUCACAACGACAGUUGGCCUCAACAUUGGCACCAUCGAUGUGCUGGGCGUGCGACUGAACUUCUGGGAUCUGGGCGGCCAGCAGGAGCUGCAAUCGCUGUGGGACAAAUACUACCAAGAGUCCCAUGGCGUCAUCUAUGUGAUAGACUCGAAUGAUCGGGAGCGCAUGGACGAGUCGAAGAUCAUUUUUGAUAAAAUGAUCAAGAAUGAGCUGCUCUCGGGUGUGCCACUGCUUAUACUGGCCAACAAACAGGAUCUGCCCGAUGUGAUGGGCGUGCGUGAGAUAAAGCCAGUCUUCCAGCAGGCUGGUGCCCUCAUCGGUCGCCGUGAUUGCCUCACCAUACCCGUCUCAGCGUUAACCGGUGAGGGUGUGGACGAGGGCAUCAAAUGGCUAGUCGAGGCCAUCAAGCGGCAUGCCUUAGUACGGCCGCCGCGAGAGAACGAUUGAACAAUGCAACGAGAGCAACAGCAGCAGCAGCCUUACCUACUAGUAGCUUUAAUAUUUAAGGUCUAAGGUAUACAGUUUUUAGUUAUAGGUUCGCCACAGACCACGUCCAGACCUCUGCUCCAGUCCCUCAAUGGCAGUUGUCAAUGACGACUUUGCUUAUCCAAAAAAAAAAGGAACAACAACGACGACAAAUACCUAAAGCAGAUUGUUAUAUGUUCUCACGGAGUGGUGUUAUCAGCCCUCCGAUAGAUAAGUGUGUGUAGUUUUCGUCUCUAUCGGACUGUGCCACCAAUAUAAUACUGCAAACACUUGCAGUGGCGGAGGGGAGAGAGCUGGGGCCCCAUGCGGCAGGCUAUGUCAGUCUUUUGCAGAAGUUUCAUCGGCGCGGGCCAGCCAGUCCAUCCGUUCUGUUCAAUCCUUGUUUAACGUUCAAAUAAUGGAAUGAACUCGCCCCAUAAACUAUUAGUGCCUUAAACCUUCUCCGGCUCAGCGACCAACAACCAAAUAAAAGAACAAGACCAA